rnacentral:lncRNA from 13 species
CUGACUACCAUGUUUGGGUUGAACUCUGGUGGCGUGUGACUGACUACUAUGUUUGGGUUGAACUCUGGUGGGGUGUGACUGACUACCAUGUUUGGGUUGAAGUCCGGUGGGGUGUGACUGACUACCAUGUUUGUGGGUUGAACGGUAGGAUUUAAGGAGACUGUCGGCUCUUACUGUGUUGUCACUACAGACACUAGACAGACCAGUAGGUUAUUGAAGGGCAGACACUACACAGGUUGGCUGAUAUUUGGGGAGACCUCUUCUAUGAUAUGCUCCUCAUGAUGUGCAAUAUAAUUGUUUUGCACCAUUAAUGACUAAAUCAUUCCAGACUGUAAUUAUUUUGCUUAUUUAUGAUAUAAUAGUCGCCCUGUCAUUUAAGUAAUCUUCGUAAGGUGAAAAAACAAGGCUUUGCCUAGUGAAUUAAUUUAGACUUCCUUUGACAUUGAUACAGCCUAAAACUGAUAAACUGCACCGUUUUGGAUUUGUAAAGUUCAAAUAAGUAUAUUUUUGUAAUUCCUGAUAUAUCAUCUUGCACAUCACUAUAUCAUCA